AUUGAACGCUGGCGGUAUGCUUAACACAUGCAAGUCGAACGGAAACGAUACUAGCUUGCUAGUAGGCGUCGAGUGGCGGACGGGUGAGUAACGCGUAGGAAUCUGCCUGAUAGUGGGGGAUAGCCCGGAGAAAUUCGGAUUAAUACCGCAUAAUCUAUUCGUAGUAAAGUGGGGGACUUUCGAGCCUCACGCUAUCAGAUGAGCCUGCGUAAGAUUAGCUAGUUGGUAGGGUAAAAGCCUACCAAGGCGACGAUCUUUAGCUGGUCUGAGAGGAUGAUCAGCCACAUCGGGACUGAGACACGGCCCGAACUCCUACGGGAGGCAGCAGUGGGGAAUAUUGGACAAUGGGGGCAACCCUGAUCCAGCAAUACCGCGUGUGUGAAGAAGGCCUGAGGGUUGUAAAGCACUUUCAAUUGUGAAGAAAAGUUAGCGGUUAAUAACCGUUAGCCUUGACGUUAACUUUAGAAGAAGCACCGGCUAACUCCGUGCCAGCAGCCGCGGUAAUACGGAGGGUGCAAGCGUUAAUCGGAAUUACUGGGCGUAAAGCGUGCGUAGGCGGUUUAUUAAGUCAGAUGUGAAAGCCCCGGGCUUAACCUGGGAACUGCAUUUGAAACUGGUAAACUAGAGUAUGGUAGAGGAAAGUGGAAUUUCUGGUGUAGCGGUGAAAUGCGUAGAUAUCAGAAGGAACAUCAAUGGCGAAGGCAGCUUUCUGG
rnacentral:rRNA from 1 species